rnacentral:rRNA from 1 species
AUGUGCAAGACGCUACUUUACUUUGCCGCAGCCGGCAGCACAGACUCGAACCAAAGCAGAGUACUAGCAAGAAAACCCCAAGGUGACUCAUCUGCUUCUCCUCCGGCCGGGCAAGGACACCGUCGUCGUCGAGGCGGAAGCCACCAAGCAGGGCACCAAGUGCAGAAGCGGAGCGCGAUGGCUUCCUCCUCCUCGUCCUCCGUCGUCCUCAUCAGCGACACCGACAACGACAGCAACGACGACGACGCCGCCUCGGACGCGCUCUCCGGGCCGGGCGCCGACCGCAUCGCCUCGACCCUGCGCACGCAGGCCGCCGUCGACGCCCUCUGCAGGAAGCACGGCGUCCCGAGGGAGUUCCUCGCGCACCCCGCCGGCGAUCUGCGCGCGUGCAGCACGCCGCCUCCGGGGGCCGUCUGCGUGUACGCCCACGCGCUGGAGACCGGGGUGCGCUUCCCGUUGCACGCCUUCUUCUGCGACACGCUCAACCACUUGGGCCUCGCGCCGGGCCAGCUCUCGCUGAACGGGUGGCGCGUUAUGGUGGGCUUCGUCGCGCUCUGCCACGAGGCCGGCGUGCGGCCGUCGCUGGUGCUGUUCAGGCACUUCUUCAAGCUCUACAACAGGAACGGCUGGUGCUACAUCCGCUGCAGGGUUGCCGCCGGAGUGCUCUUCACUGGCCUCAACUACACCAUAUCCGAGAGAGAGUGGAAAGGGGGUUUCUUCUUCCUGACGUCGCCGGGACAAUGGCCGUGCCCCGUGCGUUGGGGCGAGCCGCCGUCCAGGAGGUCGUCCGCAAAUCUGGCGCUGACGAGCAAGCAGAGGCAGCGGGCGGAAAAGCUGCUAGGCGCACGCGGCGCCGCGGUUGAUAUCCGGGCUUACCUCCGCGUGACAAAUCUUGAUGCGGCCUUGUCCGGCAACCUCGCCGGCGCACCGCCGCCACCACCACCUCAGCCUUCUCCCCGUUCUACUCUUGCCAAAGGGGUUGAUCCGCCCGUCCGCAACAUGACUGACACUAUGCCCGUGGAGAAGACGGCGGCGCCGGCAGCAUGGACGGAGCAGGUGAAAGGCGAGGCGUACGGCGACACGCUGCUGUCCGGGAAGAAGAGGAAACGGGAGGAGGCCACCGCAACAGACGGGCUUGGCUGCGCCGCCCCGGUGUCCGACACGCGUGCCCCGUCGGGCUUUGACCCGGGGUCACCGCACUCGCCCGUGCCCGACGCACACGACGGCGACACAGCCGACUGGAAGGCCGCACGGAAGGUGCUAGAGUGCAUCGUCACGCCGUCGCGGGAGGACAAGUUCGCGGCGUCGAAGCCCUCCGACGUCGUCGCGUCGAGCUACGUGGCGAUGCUCCAGGCCGUGAACUACGUGCCCUUCUCCUCGGGCUACGCGCUGGACCUGGACGAGAAGCUGGUGGCGCGGGAGCGCGACAACGUGGCGCUGUGGGAGCAGAUGGACAAGGAGAAGAUGGCGAGGCAGGCCGCGGAGGCGGAGCUGGAGGCGGUGAAGGCCGAGCUCGCGGCGGCGAAGCGGGCGACAGACUCGGAGCUGGAGAGCGCCAAGACGGCGGCGGUGCAGCAGUUCCUGGCGUCCGAGGAGCACACGCGGCGGCUCGCGGAGCAUGCGCUGGCGGGGUACGAGCGCGGUGCCGAGGAGAUGAAGGGCGUCGUGCUCCGGCACUACCCGCGCCUCGACGCCGCCAAGCUUGUCCUGCCACUUGAUUAG